UACGUAGGGGGCAAGCGUUAUCCGGAAUCACUGGGCGUAAAGGGUGCGUAGGUGGUUCCUCAAGUCAGAAGUGAAAGGCAGUGGCUUAACCACUGUAAGCUUUUGAAACUGAGGAACUUGAGUGCAGGAGAGGUAAGUGGAAUUCCUAGUGUAGCGGUGAAAUGCGUAGAUAUUAGGAGGAACACCAGUGGCGAAGGCGACUUACUGGACUGUAACUGACACUGAGGCACGAAAGCGUGGGGAGCGAACAGG
rnacentral:rRNA from 1 species